rnacentral:rRNA from 1 species
GACGAACGCUGGCGGCGUGCCUAACACAUGCAAGUCAACUUGACUGAAGGAGCAAUCUGACAGUAGAGUGGCGCAAGGGUGCGUAACGCGUAAGUAACUUGCCCCAAGGUAAGGAAUAACGUCGAGAAAUCGGCGCUAAUACCUCAUAAUGCAGCGGAUCCGCAUGGAUAUGUUGUUAAAGGUUUACCGCCUUGGGAUAGGCUUGCGUCUGAUUAGCUAGUUGGUGUGGUAAACGGCACACCAAGGCUACGAUCAGUAACUGGUCUGAGAGGAUGAUCAGUCACACUGGAACUGAGACACGGUCCAGACUCCUACGGGAGGCAGCAGUGAGGAAUAUUGGGCAAUGCUCGAAAGAGUGACCCAGCAACGCCGCGUGGAGGAUGAAGGUAUUCUAUAUCGUAAACUCCUGUGAGAGCAGACGAAAGACAGAUUAUUAAUCUGGAUGACUGUAUGCUCAGAGGAAGCCCCGGCUAACUAC